UGCAGUCGAACGAUGAUGCCCAGCUUGCUGGGCGGAUUAGUGGCGAACGGGUGAGUAAUACGUGAGUAACCUGCCCUUGACUCUGGGAUAAGCCUGGGAAACUGGGUCUAAUACUGGAUACUACUUCUUGCCGCAUGGUGGGUGGUGGAAAGGGUUUUACUGGUUUUGGAUGGGCUCACGGCCUAUCAGCUUGUUGGUGGGGUAAUGGCUCACCAAGGCGACGACGGGUAGCCGGCCUGAGAGGGUGACCGGCCACACUGGGACUGAGACACGGCCCAGACUCCUACGGGAGGCAGCAGUGGGGAAUAUUGCACAAUGGGCGGAAGCCUGAUGCAGCGACGCCGCGUGAGGGAUGACGGCCUUCGGGUUGUAAACCUCUUUCAGUAGGGAAGAAGCGAGAGUGACGGUACCUGCAGAAGAAGCGCCGGCUAACUACGUGCCAGCAGCCGCGGUAAUACGUAGGGCGCAAGCGUUGUCCGGAAUUAUUGGGCGUAAAGAGCUCGUAGGCGGUUUGUCGCGUCUGCUGUGAAAGCCCGGGGCUCAACCCCGGGUCUGCAGUGGGUACGGGCAGACUAGAGUGCAGUAGGGGAGACUGGAAUUCCUGGUGUAGCGGUGAAAUGCGCAGAUAUCAGGAGGAACACCGAUGGCGAAGGCAGGUCUCUGGGCUGUUACUGACGCUGAGGAGCGAAAGCAUGGGGAGCGAACAGGAUUAGAUACCCUGGUAGUCCAUGCCGUAAACGUUGGGCACUAGGUGUGGGGGACAUUCCACGUUUUCCGCGCCGUAGCUAACGCAUUAAG
rnacentral:rRNA from 1 species